AGGCAGCAGGGGGAAGCACAAGGGGGAAACCCGAGCAGCAACGCCGCGGAGGAGAAGGCCGGAGAAUACCGCCAGGGACGAAAGACGGACCGAGGAGGAAGCCACGGCAACAC
rnacentral:rRNA from 1 species